CCUACGGGAGGCAGCAGUGGGGAAUAUUGCACAAUGGGGGAAACCCUGAUGCAGCGACGCCGCGUGAGCGAUGAAGGAUUUCGGUAUGUAAAGCUCUAUCAGCAGGGAAGAAAAUGACGGUACCUGACUCAGAAUCCCCGUCGAACUACGAGCCAGCAGCCGCGGUAACACGUAGGGGGCAAGCGUAAUCCGGAUUUACGGGGUGUAAAGGGAGCGUAGACGGUCUUGCAAGCCAGAUGUGAAAGCCCGGGGCUCAACCCCGGGACUGCAUUUGGAACUGUAAGGCUAGAGUGUCGGUGAGGCAGGCGGAAUUCCUAGUGUAGCGGUGAAAUGCGUAGAUAUUAGGAGGAACACCGGUGGCGAAGGCGGCCUGCUGGACGAUGACUGACGUUGAGGCUCGAAAGCGUGGGUAGCAAACAGGAUUAGAUACCCCAGUAGUC
rnacentral:rRNA from 1 species